rnacentral:rRNA from 1 species
AUGAACGCUGGCGGCGUGCCUAAUACAUGCAAGUCGAGCGAACAGACGAGGAGCUUGCUCCUCUGACGUUAGCGGCGGACGGGUGAGUAACACGUGGAUAACCUACCUAUAAGACUGGGAUAACUUCGGGAAACCGGAGCUAAUACCGGAUAAUAUAUUGAACCGCAUGGUUCAAUAGUGAAAGACGGUUUUGCUGUCACUUAUAGAUGGAUCCGCGCCGCAUUAGCUAGUUGGUAAGGUAACGGCUUACCAAGGCAACGAUGCGUAGCCGACCUGAGAGGGUGAUCGGCCACACUGGAACUGAGACACGGUCCAGACUCCUACGGGAGGCAGCAGUGGGGAAUCUUCCGCAAUGGGCGAAAGCCUGACGGAGCAACGCCGCGUGAGUGAUGAAGGUCUUCGGAUCGUAAAACUCUGUUAUUAGGGAAGAACAAAUGUGUAAGUAACUAUGCACGUCUUGACGGUACCUAAUCAGAAAGCCACGGCUAACUACGUG